CCUAAAAAGUAAUGGAGGCGUUCAUCAAGGUCGGCUAGCUCCGGAUGGAAAUCGGAGCGAUAGCGUAAAGGCAAAAGCCGGCUUUACUGCAAGACGGAUGUGUCGCGCAGUUGCGAAAGCAGGACUUAGUGAACCGACUCUAACUCGUAGGAGUGGAGAAGAUCAUCAACUAAAAGCUACUCCGGGGAUAA
rnacentral:rRNA from 1 species